rnacentral:snoRNA from 1 species
AUUAAUGAAGAAGUCGAGGACAACUGAUUAAUGAUGAGUCUUCUCUACUCUGAUG